GCACCCGUAGCUCAGCGGAUUAGAGUACUUGGCUUCGAACCAAGUGGUCGCAGGUUCGAAUCCUGCCGGGUGUACCA
rnacentral:tRNA from 2 species